rnacentral:miRNA from 1 species
UUAUAAUCAUCAUGAUAAUGAUAAUGAUGAUGAUCAUGAUCACGAUGAUCAUGAUGACCAUGAUCAUGAUGAUGAUCAUGAUCAUGAUGAUGGUAG